rnacentral:piRNA from 1 species
GUCUUAGUCAGGGUUUCUAUU